GCCUGGCCGCCUCGCACCGCGGGCCCCCACCCUCCGGCCGGCCCUUACACCUCCACGCGCGCGCGCGCACGCACAUGCACGCGCUCUUGCACGCGCACACCGCCCGGGCCUCCCUGCCGGAGAAGCCGGAGAAGCGGAGGCCCGGGCACCAGUGACUGACCGCAGGUGAAAACCCAGGUCUGGGAGCAUCAGGAGCCUUCCAGGACCACCGUCCAAGGACAGGCAAUCCUGUCCGAAUUUCCAUCAAGUCCAUAGUGUCCCGGGAGGCCGCUCGGUUUCCGGUGGCUUUGCCUGAUUCCUUCCUGCUUCAGAGCAGGCACAGAAGAGAAAUGGCUUGUGCUGGACAGAGAUUCUCUGGUGUCAAAUCUUUAUCAAAGGCUUCCUAGAUCCAGGUGGAGUGAGAACUUCGAGUUCCUAAGCCCAGCCGCUGGCCCAGUUGAGCGAGUGGCUCCCUUGGCUACCUCCAGGACAAGCGGAGGAACGUUUUGGAAUGGAAGAAUGCGUUGGCUUAGAAUCUGCAGGGAGGAAGUGACCUCGUCUGCCCAUCCCACGGUCGUACCACAGAGCGAGCUCGGGAAUAAAGAUUAAAUUCGACCUGUUUCAA